CAGAGCAAAGAGGUGAACUGCACUAUUUUAAAACAUAAUAAUUAAAAAAAAUAUCUACAGGAGAUAAAAAAGGAGAAUUCAUACCUUUUGAUCUGAUCUCAGUUUUGAUUUAACUGAUUAAACAAUGGGGGUUGGACUGAUGAUAUCAGUUUCCUUGCUUCUAAUAGCCACAACAAUAAUGCCUGGCAGUAUCACCACAGCCCAAACAACAACACCGGCUGCCACAACUACCACUGCUCCUGUGACAACAACAACGGCUGCCACCACCACCACAACCCCAGCAACUACGACAACAACAGCUG